rnacentral:lncRNA from 1 species
CUCUUUCUUCAGUUGGAAACCCUGGACUGGUGUCUCGCAGUUCACUUUGGAGAUGUUACUUUCACUGGGAGUUUCAUGAUUUGUGUUUUAGCCAAAUCACUCUGAGACGCAGCACCAGAUCCAAGAUCAGCUUUCAUCGCAUUACUUUCAUCUUCCCCUGCAGUCACAUCCUGACCUUCACACCAACUCUGACACCCUCCGCUAUAAUGAGUUGGAGCUCAUGGCGAAAGCAGUAUUUGGCUUUCAUCUUUCUUUAAGCUCACUCGACCAUCUCUCUCUUUCUCUUGACUGUAGAUCCAGUGAGGAGGGACAAAGGAAGGAAUGGUGCAUUUACCAACAGCAACCAAAUCCUGCAUGGUAUGCCCUUAUUUUCUGUCAGCACCAAACAGGAACAAGUGACUGUUUUUCUUUAAUUUGGAUAAAUGUACAGGAG